AUUGAACGCUGGCGGCAGGCCUAACACAUGCAAGUCGAACGGUAACAGGAAACAGCUUGCUGUUUCGCUGACGAGUGGCGGACGGGUGAGUAAUGUCUGGGAAACUGCCUGAUGGAGGGGGAUAACUACUGGAAACGGUAGCUAAUACCGCAUAACGUCGCAAGACCAAAGAGGGGGACCUUCGGGCCUCUUGCCAUCGGAUGUGCCCAGAUGGGAUUAGCCUGUUGGUGGGGUAACGGCUCACCAAGGCGACGAGCCCUAGCUGGUCUGAGAGGAUGACCCGCCACACUGGAACUGAGACACGGUCCAGACUCCUACGGGAGGCAGCAGUGGGGAAUAUUGCACAAUGGGCGCAAGCCUGAUGCAGCCAUGCCGCGUGUAUGAAGAAGGCCUUCGGGUUGUAAAGUACUUUCAGCGGGGAGGAAGGGAGUAAAGUUAAUACCUUUACUCAUUGACGUUACCCGCAGAAGAAGCACCGGCUAACUCCGUGCCAGCAGCCGCAGUAA
rnacentral:rRNA from 1 species